rnacentral:misc_RNA from 1 species
AACGAGGCCGACCUGCGGCUGAGUUACCUGCGGAAGGAUCAUUACAAGUGACCCCGGUCUAACCACCGGGAUGUUCAUAACCCUUUGUUGUCCGACUCUGUUGCCUCCGGGGCGACCCUGCCUUCGGGCGGGGGCUCCGGGUGGACACUUCAAACUCUUGCGUAACUUUGCAGUCUGAGUAAACUUAAUUAAUAAAUUAAAACUUUUAACAACGGAUCU